UACAGAGGGUGCAAGCGUUAAUCGGAAUUACUGGGCGUAAAGCGUGCGUAGACGGUUAUGUAAGUCGGGUGUGAAAGCCCCGGGCUCAACCUGGGAACUGCAUUUGUGACUGCAUAGCUAGAGUACGGCAGAGGGGGAUGGAAUUCCGCGUGUAGCAGUGAAAUGCGUAGAUAUGCGGAGGAACACCGAUGGCGAAGGCAAUCCCCUGGGCCUGUACUGACGCUCAUGCACGAAAGCGUGGGGAGCAAACAGG
rnacentral:rRNA from 1 species